rnacentral:rRNA from 1 species
GACGAACGCUGGCGGCGUGCUUAACACAUGCAAGUCGAACGAAGUGGCGAACGGGUGAGUAACGCGUAAUCAACCUGCCCUUCAGAGGGGGACAACAGUUGGAAACGACUGCUAAUACCGCAUACUGAAGGAGGGGAUUGCGUCUGAUUAGCUAGUUGGAGGGGGAACGGCCCACCAAGGCGAUGAUCAGUAGCCGGGCUGGGAGGGAGAACGACCAAAUGUGGACUGGGACACGGGCCAGACUCCUACGGGAGGGAGCAGUGGGGAAUCUUCCGAAAUGGGCGAAAGUCUGACGGCGCAACGCCGCGUGAGUGAUGACGGCCUUCGGGGUGUAAAGCUCUGUUAAGCGGGACGCGGUACCGGAAUAGAAAGCCACGGCUAACUACGUGCCAGCAGCCGCGGUAAUUC